rnacentral:siRNA from 1 species
AGUGAUACCAAAUUCUAUACAUA